UACGAAGGGGGCUAGCGUUGUUCGGAUUCAUUGGGCGUAAAGGGUGCGUAGGCGGCGCGGUAAGUCGGGUGUGAAAUCUUGGAGCUUAACUCCGAAACUGCAUUCGAUACUGCCGUGCUUGAGGACUGGAGAGGAGACUGGAAUUUACGGUGUAGCGGUGAAAUGCGUAGAUAUCGUAAGGAAGACCAGUGGCGAAGGCGGGUCUCUGGACAGUUCCUGACGCUGAGGCGCGAAGGCCAGGGGAGCAAACGGG
rnacentral:rRNA from 1 species